AUGGAUGACACAAAUUUUGAUCUGACUGUGUCGAAAAUUAAUACUACAGACGUUGCACUGUAUUUUUGCGGCAUACAGUGGUACAACAAUUUUCUGUUUGGAGAGGGAACUUUUCUCAUAUUGAAUGAUACCUCUCCAGUUCAAGCUACAAAACCACUUGAAUUGCAUCAAAUUCAUACAGGCACAAGUGUGACUUUGCAGUGCAGUAUCACUGCCAAGAGCUGUGCAGGAGAACACAGUGUCUAUUGGUUAAGACAGGAUUCAGGAGAAUCCCAUCCAGGAAUCAUUUACACCCAUGGAGACAGGAGUGAUCAGUGUGAGAAGAGAUCUGAGGCUGGUUCUCCUACACAGAGCUGUGUCUAUCACCUCCCCAAGAGGAACCUCAGUCUCUCUGAUGCUGGAACUUAUUACUGUGCUGUGGCCAUGUGUGGAGAGAUACUGUUUGGCAGUGGAACCAGAUUAGACAUUUAUGGUAACUUGUAUUACUCUACACAGUACACCUAUUGUACCCUGUAA